rfam:Picea glauca, whole genome shotgun sequence.
AUGUAAUGUAAUUCCUCAAGCGUUAAUGCACCAGAUCCCAUUAGAGAAUCACAAUUAAGCACGCCUGGGAUAGAGUAGUACUAGGAUGGGUGACCUCUCGGGAAGUCUUAGUGUUUUACAUU